ACACACCACGUUGAAACACCCGUUCCCGUCCGGUCAGUGAAGUUAAGCAAAGUCGAUCUAGCUCAGUGCCUAGAUGGGCGUCCGCUUGAGAAUACUAUGUGCUGUAAG